rnacentral:rRNA from 1 species
UACGUAGGGGGCUAGCGUUGUCCGGAAUCAUUGGGCGUAAAGAGCGUGUAGGCGGUCCGGUAAGUCCGUUGUGAAAGUCAGGGGCUCAACCCUUGAAUGCGGGCGGAUACUGUCGGGCUAGAGUCCGGAAGAGGCAAGUGGAAUUCCCGGUGUAGCGGUGAAAUGCGCAGAUAUCGGGAGGAACACCUAUGGCGAAGGCAGCUUGCUGGGACGGUACUGACGCUGAGACGCGAAAGCGUGGGGAGCAAGCAGG